CGGCGAUUUCCGAAUGGGGAAACCCAGUGUGAUUCGUCACACUAUCAUUAACUGAAUCCAUAGGUUAAUGAGGCGAACCGGGGGAACUGAAACAUCUAAGUACCCCGAGGAAAAGAAAUCAACCGAGAUUCCCCCAGUAGCGGCGAGCGAACGGGGAGGAGCCCAGAGCCUGAAUCAGUGUGUGUGUUAGUGGAAGCGUCUGGAAAGGCGCGCGAUACAGGGUGACAGCCCCGUACACAAAAAUGCACAUACUGUGAGCUCGAUGAGUAGGGCGGGACACGUGGUAUCCUGUCUGAAUAUGGGGGGACCAUCCUCCAAGGCUAAAUACUCCUGACUGACCGAUAGUGAACCAGUACCGUGAGGGAAAGGCGAAAAGAACCCCGGCGAGGGGAGUGAAAAAGAACCUGAAACCGUGUACGUACAAGCAGUGGGAGCCUCUUUAUGGGGUGACUGCGUACCUUUUGUAUAAUGGGUCAGCGACUUAUAUUCUGUAGCAAGGUUAACCGAAUAGGGGAGCCGAAGGGAAACCGAGUCUUAACUGGGCGUUAAGUUGCAGGGUAUAGACCCGAAACCCGGUGAUCUAGCCAUGGGCAGGUUGAAGGUUGGGUAACACUAACUGGAGGACCGAACCGACUAAUGUUGAAAAAUUAGCGGAUGACUUGUGGCUGGGGGUGAAAGGCCAAUCAAACCGGGAGAUAGCUGGUUCUCCCCGAAAGCUAUUUAGGU
rnacentral:rRNA from 1 species